rnacentral:snoRNA from 1 species
GUGUCCGGUCUGACAGCCCCUGUCUCCAGUUAUGGCAAUGGACAAGCAGACAGGACACAGAUUAACAACCGUCCAGUAAAGGGGACGUUUCCCAAGGAGGACUUGGUCCUAAAGGCAGGAUGGGACAUU